rnacentral:tRNA from 1 species
UGCAUCAGCCGGGAAUCGAACCCGGGCCGCCCGCAUGGCAGGCGUGCAUUCUACCACUGAACCAAGGAUGC